ensembl:lncRNA
CCCAAACCGUAAAUGGUGCACACGCGCCAAUUGCAUGACUAGAUCCAGAAUCGGCACCGCUACUCAGAUAACCAAAUCCAGACACGCCGGUCCCUAGGUGGCGCUAUACCAAGGAAUACGCGUUUGGGGCUAUAACUCCCACACCGAACCUCCCAGAGUCCAAAAACUUGUACACACAGAUGCACUGGAGUCUGCUGCAUCUUUUGGCCUAGGCCACGCCCAUUUGCGUCUAUGAAGUUUUUUCCCUACUCCUCCCACAUUUCUUGACCAAUCGACACCAAACUUUGCACACGACAUCUUCAGACGCACACGCAAAGAAUGCACGAAACACUUUUUUGAUGCGACCUUUGACGUCGAAACUGUAGCGUUUUGAAUAUUGGUUUAUUAGCUAAAUUAGACGUGGAAUA